rnacentral:rRNA from 1 species
CCUACGGGUGGCAGCAGUAGGGAAUAUUGCUCAAUGGGGGAAACCCUGAAGCAGCAACGCCGCGUGGAGGAUGAAGGUUUUCGGAUUGUAAACUCCUUUUGUUAGAGAAGAUAAUGACGGUAUCUAACGAAUAAUCACCGGCUAACUCCGGGCCAGCAGCCGCGGUAAUACGGAGGGUGCAAGCGUUACGCGGAAUUACUGGUCGUAAAGAGCGCGGAGGCGGGAUAGCAAGUCAGAUGUGAAAUCCUAGGGCUUAACCAUAGAACUGCAUUUGAAACUGUCAGUCUAGAGUAUGGGAGAGGUAGGUAGAAUUCCAGGUGUAGGGGUAAAAUGCGUAGAGAUCAAGAGGAAUACUCAUGGCGAAGGCGACCUGCUAGAAAAAAACUGACGCUGAGGCGCGAAAGCGUGGGGAGCAAACAGGAUUAGAUACCCUUGUAGUC